rnacentral:rRNA from 1 species
AGUGAACGCUGGCGGUAGGCCUAACACAUGCAAGUCGAACGGCAGCACGGUAAGAGCUUGCUCUUACGGGUGGCGAGUGGCGGACGGGUGAGGAAUACAUCGGAAUCUACUUUUUCGUGGGGGAUAACGUAGGGAAACUUACGCUAAUACCGCAUACGACCUAAGGGUGAAAGUAGGGGAUCUUCGGACCUUGCGCGAUUGAAUGAGCCGAUGUCGGAUUAGCUAGUUGGCGGGGUAAAGGCCCACCAAGGCGACGAUCCGUAGCUGGUCUGAGAGGAUGAUCAGCCACACUGGAACUGAGACACGGUCCAGACUCCUACGGGAGGCAGCAGUGGGGAAUAUUGGACAAUGGGCGCAAGCCUGAUCCAGCCAUACCGCGUGGGUGAAGAAGGCCUUCGGGUUGUAAAGCCCUUUUGUUGGGAAAGAAAAGCAGCAGGUUAAUACCCCGCUGUUCUGACGGUACCCAAAGAAUAAGCACCGGCUAACUUCGUG